rnacentral:rRNA from 1 species
AGAGUUUGAUCCUGGCUCAGGACGAACGCUGGCGGCGUGCUUAACACAUGCAAGUCAAGGGGGCCCAGCAAUGGGCAACCGGCGAACGGGUGCGCAACACGUGAGCAACCUACCGAACUGUGGGGGAUAGCCGGCCUAACGGCCGAGUAAUACCGCAUACGCUUUCGAUGAGGCAUUUCAUUGAAAGGAAACCUACGGGACAGAUCGAGGGGCUCGCGGCCUAUCAGCUAGUUGGCGAGGUAAUGGCUCACCAAGGCUACGACGGGUAGCUGGUCUGAGAGGAUGGCCAGCCACAUUGGGACUGAGAUACGGCCCAGACUCCUACGGGAGGCAGCAGUGGGGAAUCUUGCGCAAUGGCCUAACGGCUGACGCAGCGACGCCGCGUGUGGGAUGAAGCUCUUCGGAGUGUAAACCACUGUUGCCCGGGACGAAUAGCUCGAUUAAUCGAGCCUGACGGUACCGGGUGAGGAAGCACCGGCUAACUCCGUGCCAGCAGCCGCGGUAAUACGGGGGGUGCGAGCGUUGUCCGGAAUCACUGGGCGUAAAGGGCGCGUAGGUGGUUUGAUAAGGGUGUGGUGAAAGUCCGGGGCUCAACCCCGGAUCUGCCGUGCCGACUGUCAAACUCGAGGGCUGUAGAGGCAGACGGAAUUCCGGGUGUAGCGGUGGAAUGCGUAGAGAUCCGGAGGAAGACCGGUGGCGAAGGCGGUCUGCUGGGCAGUUUCUGACACUGAUGCGCGACAGCGUGGGGAGCAAACAGGAUUAGAUACCCUAGUAGUCC